AGUGCGGGUCCCCACAAGCAGCCCUCAAGGUUGUGACGUCAUGAACUUGGAGUGAGGCUCCUGGUAUAUAAGUCACUGGAUUCAUGCAGAAGCAUCAGUCUCAUCUUAGUCACUAAACAUGUUUGUCAAGGUUGUGUUUGCGGCAGUGUUUGUGGCAGUGGUGAUGGGUGUUCCCCAGUCUUACCCUUCUUACCCUCCCACCCCAACAUACGGCGUUUCUGGUCCUCAAGCUCCUGCUCGGUACGACUUCAAUUGGACCGUCAAAGACGACCAGUCAGGUAACGACUUACGGUCAACAAGAGUCUCGUGACGGCGACAACACUCAUGGCUCUUAUCACGUGCUUCUUCCCGAUGGUCGUGUUGAAAAUGUAGUCUACACUGUUAACGGUGACUCUGGUUACGUGGCUGAAGUGACUUACCAGGGCCAGGCCCAGCACCCAACACACCAAACCUACACUCCAGUUCCUCUCUAUGGUUAAAUGAAC